AGAGUUUGAUCCUGGCUCAGGACGAACGCUGGCGGCGCGCCUAACACAUGCAAGUCGAACGAGCGAGAGAGAGCUUGCUUUCUCAAGCGAGUGGCGAACGGGUGAGUAACGCGUGAGGAACCUGCCUCAAAGAGGGGGACAACAGUUGGAAACGACUGCUAAUACCGCAUAAGCCCACAGCUCGGCAUCGAGCAGAGGGAAAAGGAGCAAUCCGCUUUGAGAUGGCCUCGCGUCCGAUUAGCUAGUUGGUGAGGUAAUGGCCCACCAAGGCGACGAUCGGUAGCCGGACUGAGAGGUUGAACGGCCACAUUGGGACUGAGACACGGCCCAGACUCCUACGGGAGGCAGCAGUGGGGAAUAUUGCACAAUGGGGGAAACCCUGAUGCAGCGACGCCGCGUGGAGGAAGAAGGUCUUCGGAUUGUAAACUCCUGUUGUUGAGGAAGAUAAUGACGGUACUCAACAAGGAAGUGACGGCUAACUACGUGCCAGCAGCCGCGGUAAAACGUAGGUCACAAGCGUUGUCCGGAAUUACUGGGUGUAAAGGGAGCGCAGGCGGGAAGACAAGUUGGAAGUGAAAUCUAUGGGCUCAACCCAUAAACUGCUUUCAAAACUGUUUUUCUUGAGUAGUGCAGAGGUAGGCGGAAUUCCCGGUGUAGCGGUGGAAUGCGUAGAUAUCGGGAGGAACACCAGUGGCGAAGGCGGCCUACUGGGCACCAACUGACGCUGAGGCUCGAAAGUGUGGGUAGCAAACAGGAUUAGAUACCCUGGUAGUCCACACCGUAAACGAUGAUUACUAGGUGUUGGAGGAUUGACCCCUUCAGUGCCGCAGUUAACACAAUAAGUAAUCCACCUGGGGAGUACGACCGCAAGGUUGAAACUCAAAGGAAUUGACGGGGGCCCGCACAAGCAGUGGAGUAUGUGGUUUAAUUCGACGCAACGCGAAGAACCUUACCAAGUCUUGACAUCCCUUGACGAUGCUGGAAACAGUAUUUCUUUUCGGAGCAAGGAGACAGGUGGUGCAUGGUUGUCGUCAGCUCGUGUCGUGAGAUGUUGGGUUAAGUCCCGCAACGAGCGCAACCCUUACUGUCAGUUACUACGCAAGAGGACUCUGGCAGGACUGCCGUUGACAAAACGGAGGAAGGUGGGGAUGACGUCAAAUCAUCAUGCCCUUUAUGACUUGGGCUACACACGUACUACAAUGGCGUUAAACAAAGAGAAGCAAGACCGCGAGGUGGAGCAAAACUCAGAAACAACGUCCCAGUUCGGACUGCAGGCUGCAACUCGCCUGCACGAAGUCGGAAUUGCUAGUAAUCGUGGAUCAGCAUGCCACGGUGAAUACGUUCNCCGGGCCCUUGUACACACCGCCCGUNNC
rnacentral:rRNA from 1 species